rnacentral:rRNA from 1 species
GAUGAACGCUGGCGGCGUGCCUAAUACAUGCCAGUCGAGCGAACAGACGAGGAGCUUGCUCCUCUGACGUUAGCGGCGGACGGGUGAGUAACACGUGGAUAACCUACCUAUAAGACUGGGAUAACUUCGGGAAACCGGAGCUAAUACCGGAUAAUAUAUUGAACCGCAUGGUUCAAUAGUGAAAGACGGUUUUGCUGUCACUUAUAGAUGGAUCCGCGCCGCAUUAGCUAGUUGGUAAGGUAACGGCUUACCAAGGCGACGAUGCGUAGCCGACCUGAGAGGGUGAUCGGCUACACUGGAACUGAGACACGGUCCAGACUCCUACGGGAGGCAGCAGUAGGGAAUCUUCCGCAAUGGGCGAAAGCCUGACGGAGCAACGCCGCGUGAGUGAUGAAGGUCUUCGGAUCGUAAAACUCUGUUAUUAGGGAAGAACAAAUGUGUAAGUAACUAUGCACGUCUUGACGGUACCUAAUCAGAAAGCCACGGCUAACUACGUG